rnacentral:rRNA from 1 species
UAACUGUGCAAAGGUAGCAUAAUCAAUAGUUUUUUAAUUGAAGGCUUGUAUGAAGGGUUGGACAAAGAAUAAUCUGUUUUUAUUUUUUUUUUUGAAUUUAACUUUUAAGUGAAAAGGCUUAAAUAAAUUUAAGGGACGAUAAGACCCUAUAAAUCUUUAUAUUAUUUUGUUUUUUAGUAAAUAAUAAAGUAAAUAGUUUAAUAAAACAAAAAAUAUUUUGUUGGGGUGAUGAAAAUAUAAUUAUUAACUGUUUUAAAAUUUAAACAAAGUUGUUUGGUAAAAAUAAUAAAUCCUUUAUAUAUAUAAAAAAUUUAAGUUACUUUAGGGAUAACAGCGUUAUUUUUUUUGAGAGUUCAUUUCGAAAAAAAAGUUUGCCACCUCGAUGUUGAAUUAAAAUUUCUUUGUGGAGCAGGUGCCCCAAAAAAAAGUCUGUUCGACUUUUAAAUUUUUACC